GACGAACGCUGGCGGCGUGCUUAACAUAUGCAAGUCGAACGGAAAGGCCUUUUCGGAGGUACUCGAGUGGCGAACGGGUGAGUAACACGUGGGUGAUCUGCCCUGCACUCUGGGAUAAGCCUGGGAAACUGGGUCUAAUACCGGAUAGGACCGCACUUUAGUGUGUGUGGUGGAAAGUUUUUUCGGUGUAGGAUGAGCCCGCGGCCUAUCAGCUUGUUGGUGGGGUAAUGGCCUACCAAGGCGGCGACGGGUAGCCGGACUGAGAGGUUGGUCGGCCACAUUGGGACUGAGAUACGGCCCAGACUCCUACGGGAGGCAGCAGUGGGGAAUAUUGCACAAUGGGCGCAAGCCUGAUGCAGCGACGCCGCGUGGGGGAUGACGGCCUUCGGGUUGUAAACUCCUUUCGCCAGGGACGAAGCGUUUUGUGACGGUACCUGGAGAAGAAGCACCGGCUAACUACGUG
rnacentral:rRNA from 1 species